rnacentral:rRNA from 1 species
GGCGUACUUAACACAUGCAAGUCGAACGAGAACGGCUUUCUUCGGAGAGCUUAUUAAAGUGGCGCACGGGUGAGUAACACGUAGAUAAUCUACUUUACAGUCUGGGAUAACUGACCGAAAGGUUCGCUAAUACCGGAUACGAUCUAUAUUGCAUAAGUAGUAUAGAAGAAAGAUGGCCUCUCCUUGGAAGCUAUUGCUGAAAGAUGAGUUUGCGUACCAUUAGCUAGUUGGUAGGGUAAUGGCCUACCAAGGCUUCGAUGGUUAGCGGGUCUGAGAGGAUGAUCCGCCACACUGGAACUGAAACACGGACCAGACUCCUACGGGAGGCAGCAGUGAGGAAUUUUGCGCAAUGGGGGCAACCCUGACGCAGUGACGCCGCGUGGACGAUGAAGGCCUUAGGGUUGUAAAGUCCUGUCAGUAGGGAAGAAAUGUGCAUAGGCCAAUACCUUAUGCAUUUGACGGUACCUACAAAGGAAGCACCGGCUAACUCCGUGCCAGCAGCCGCGGUAAUACGGAGGGUGCAAGCGUUGUUCGGAAUUACUGGGCGUAAAGAGCGCGUAGGCGGUCUUUUAAGUCAGGUGUGAAAGCCCGGGGCUCAACCCCGGAAGUGCACUUGAAACUAUGAGACUUGAGUAUGGGAGAGGGAAGUGGAAUUCCUGGUGUAGCGGUGAAAUGCGUAGAUAUCAGGAGGAACAUCGGUGGCGAAGGCGACUUCCUGGACCAAUACUGACGCUGAGGCGCGAAGGCGUGGGGAGCAAACAGGAUUAGAUACCCUGGUAGUCCACGCAGUAAACGGUGAACACUAGGUGUAGCGGGUAUUGACCCCUGCUGUGCCGCAGCAAACGCAUUAAG